rnacentral:lncRNA from 1 species
CUUACCCUGGCCUAGAUGACACCCGUGAGUGGGGAGGGAAUGAUCAUUAUUACAGGUAUAGUUGGUGACUUGUCGGUGACUUGUUGGUGACUUGUGGUCCUGUUGGUGACUCUUGGUUCUUCAGAUGACAGUUUAUCAGAUGACUUUGGGUUUCAGAUGAAUUGUGGUUCCGAGUUCAAGCUGAAGCUUUGAUCCUGUGUUCUGAGAUGCACAGCCUGCUAGUCUUGUUUGCAUCAUUUGCAUCAUAGCAUGUUUAUUUUCAAAAAGAUACGCAAAAAAAAAGAAAAAAAAGAAAAAAAA